UAAACCUGUAGGAACAGCUUUUAUGGGGACACUAAAGAGAAGUUUUACAUAAGAAGGGGAUCCUUAGGUAUUAUAUAAUAAUAAUAUAACCUACUUAAUAAUAUGAAGCUUUGUAUUCUUUAAAUCUAUAUCCAUGACCUCAUUUCAGCCUCCAAAACAGCCAUGUGGGGGAAGUAUUUUGUUGUUUAGUCAUUUUUCAGUCAUGUCCAACUCUUUGUGACCUUUUUGGGGUUUUCUUGGCAAUGAUACUGAAGUGGUUUGCUAUUUCUUUCUCUAGCUCAUUUUACAUAUGAGGAAACUGAGGCAAACAGGAUUACAGUGACUUGCUCCAGGUCCCCCAGCUAGCAAGCGUAAGAAGCCAGAUUUGAACUUCCUGACUCCAGCCCUAGCACUGAUUGCCAUAAGGAACCCUGGAGUAAGCUGUCUCCGAGACUGGCCCUGGGACAACACCACACUCCAGUCCCCAGUCUUUCCCCCUCCACUUCACCAACUCUGCAACUGGAAAAGAUUAGCAUCUAAGGAGGUAUGUAGUGGAGGACAAGAGACAGGAGGAGGAAAAGCUCUCCGAUUGCUCCUCCCUUUAAUUAAAAAAGCAUUUUUUGGUAUCAUAAUAUUUUUAAAUUUUAUUUAUUUAUUUGGUUAAUUUAGAAUACUUUCCCAUGGUUACAUGAUUCAGAUUCUUUCCCUCCUCUCCUCCUUCCCCCCUCCCUCUGGUAGCCAAUAAGCAAUUCCACUGGGUUUUACAUGUUUAAGACCUAAUUUAAAAG
rnacentral:lncRNA from 1 species